GCGGGCGUAGCUCAGCUGGUUAGAGCACUGCCUUGUCACGGCAGGGGUCGCCGGUUCGAAUCCGGUCGCUCGCG
rnacentral:tRNA from 1 species